GAUGAACGCUGGCGGCGUGCCUAAUACAUGCAAGUCGAGCGAACAGAUGAGGAGCUUGCUCCCCUGACGUUAGCGGCGGACGGGUGCUUAACAUGUGGAUAACCUACCUCUCAGACUGGGAUAACUUCGGGAAACCGGAGCUAAUACCGGAUAAUAUAUUGAACCUCAUGGUUCACUAGUGAAAGACGGUUUUGCUGUCACUUAUAGAUGAAUCCGCGCCGCAUCAGCUAGUUGGUAAGGUAACGGCUUAACAAGGCGACGAUGCGUAGCCGACCUGAGAGGGACAACGGACAGACUGGAUGUGAGACACAGUACAGACUCCUGCGGGGGGAAGCAGUAGGGAAUCUUACGCGAUGGGGGAAAGCUGGACAGAGCAACACGGCGUGAGUGAUGAAGGUCUUAGGACCGUAAAGCUAUGUAAUUAGGAAAGAACAAAUGUGUAAGUAACUAGGCUCGUCUUGACGGUACCGAAUCAGAAAGCCACGGCUAACUACGUG
rnacentral:rRNA from 1 species